GAUGAACGCUGGCGGCGUGCCUAAUACAUGCAAGUCGAGCGAACAGACGAGGAGCUUGCUCCUCUGACGUUAGCGGCGGACGGGUGAGUAACACGUGGAUAACCUACCUAUAAGACUGGGAUAACUUCGGGAAACCGGAGCUAAUACCGGAUAAUAUAUUGAACCGCAUGGUUCAAUAGUGAAAGACGGUUUUGCUGUCACUUAUAGAUGGAUCCGCGCCGCAUUAGCUAGUUGGUACGGUAACGGCUUACCAAGGCAACGAUGCGUAGCCGACCUGAGAGGGUGAUCGGCCACACUGGAACUGAGACACGGUCCAGACUCCUACGGGAGGCAGCAGUAGGGAAUCUUCCGCAAUGGGCGAAAGCCUGACGGAGCAACGCCGCGUGAGUGAUGAAGGUCUUCGGAUCGUAAAACUCUGUUACUAGGGAAGAACAAAUGUGUAAGUAACUAUGCACGUCUUGACGGUACCUAAUCAGAAAGCCACGGCUAACUACGUG
rnacentral:rRNA from 1 species